rnacentral:rRNA from 1 species
AUGUCACUAGAAGUUGAGAAACCACUGUUCAUCGAGACAACCAAACGGCUUGAGCGCCAAGACUCACUUAUUGGUGAUGCGGAGAAGGUCUCUAAUAUCAAAGGCCAUGGUUCCGAGGGAAACUGGACACAAGUACUGCAUCUUGCAUUUCAGAGCAUCGGCAUCAUUUAUGGGGAUGUUGGGACAUCGCCGCUCUAUUGUUACUCGAGCACCUUCCCUAACGGCGUCAAAGACAAGGAUGAUAUCUUGGGUGUCCUCUCGCUCAUCCUAUACACCCUCAUCCUUUUACCGAUGAUCAAGUAUGUCUUCAUCGUGCUCUAUGCAGAUGACAACGGAGAUGGUGGCACAUUUGCGCUCUACUCACUUAUAUCGCGGUAUUCAAAGAUAAGGCUGAUCCCAAACCAGCAGGCAGAGGAUUCAAUGGUGUCGAAUUACAGCAUAGAAUCACCAAGCUUAUCACUGAAGAGGGCACAAUGGUUGAAGGAGAAGCUUGAGUCCAGCAAGGCAGCCAAGAUUGGCCUCUUCACCAUCACAAUCCUUGGCACAUCCAUGGUGAUGGGUGAUGGGACCUUGACACCAGCAAUUUCUGUGCUCUCUGCAGUGAGCGGGAUCAAAGAGAAAGUGCCAAGUUUAACUGAAACACAGAUAGUCUGGAUCUCGGUGCCUAUUCUGUUCAUGCUCUUUUCAGUCCAGCGUUUUGGGACAGAUAAGGUCGGGUACUCCUUUGCUCCGAUCAUCUCGGUGUGGUUCGUUCUUAUUGCUGGCAUUGGAAUAUAUAACAUCGUAGUGUAUGAGAUCACUAUUCUCCGAGCCUUCAAUCCUAUGCACAUACUAUAUUACUUCGGAAGAAAUGGGAAGGAAGCAUGGAUUUCACUAGGAGGUGCUAUCUUGUGUGUUACAGGUACAGAGGGUAUGUAUGCGGACCUAGGACAUUUCAAUAUCACGGCCAUUCAGAUAAGCUUUAAUGGUGUCUUGUUCCCUUCGGUGGCACUAUGUUACAUGGGGCAAGCAGCAUAUCUGAGGAAAUUCCCAGAGAAUGUUGCAGACACCUUCUACAGAUCUCUCCCAGCACCAAUGUUCUGGCCAACCUUCACCGUUGCCAUUCUUUCGGCUAUAAUUGCAAGCCAAGCUAUGCUCUCUGGCGCAUUCGCUAUCCUGUCCAAGGCCCUAUCUCUUGGUUGCUUCCCCAGGGUUCGGGUUAUCCAUACCUCCAAGCAUCACCAGGGGCAGGUGUACAUUCCUGAAGUGAAUUUUCUGAUGGGACUGGCUAGUGUUAUAAUCACGAUCACCUUCAGAACUACCACCGAAAUCGGGAAUGCUUAUGGGAUCUGUGUCGUGACCGUCUUCUCAAUCACCACCCAUUUGAUGACUAUCGUGAUGUUGCUCGUGUGGAAGAAAAACAUCAUCUUCAUCCUGUUGUUUUACGUUGUGUUUAGUUCCAUAGAGUGGAUCUACCUGUCUUCAAUACUGUCAAAGUUCAUCCAGGGUGGGUACCUGCCAUUCUGCUUCGCGCUUGUCCUGAUGGCCCUAAUGGUAACAUGGCACUAUGUGCAUGUCAUGAAGUACUGGUACGAGCUUGACCACAUCGUCCCCAUUGAUGAGGUGACGGCACUGCUUGAGAAGCAUAAUGUGCAGCGGAUCCCUGGGGUGGGCAUCUUGUACUCGGAGCUGGUGCAAGGUAUUCCCCCGGUGUUCCUGCGGUUGGUGGAGAAAAUUCCAUCUGUGCACUCUAUCUUUUUGUUCAUGUCGAUCAAGCACCUACCCAUCCCUCAUGUGGCACCUGUGGAGCGGUUCGUCUUCCGGCAGGUUGGUCCAAGGGAGCAUCGGAUGUUCCGGUGUGUUGCACGAUAUGGUUACAGUGACGGGGUAGAGGAUUCAGGUCAGUUCGCGAGGUUCCUAGCGGAGAGGUUGAAGAUGUUCAUCGAAGAUGAGAAUGCAUUUGCAGUGGAGAAACCGGAAAAUGAGGAUACUGACUCUCCAAGCGGAGUUUCGGAAGGUCAAACGAAGCCGAGGAAGUCCGCACGAUCUGUACACAGCGAGGAGGUGAUAGAGCCGCCAAUGAACAACCAUGUAGGGAGGAUUAGUUCCUAUUCUCUUCAGACGAUUGAGGAGGAGAAGCAGCUGAUUGACGCAGAGAUGAAGCGAGGGGUGGUUUAUCUGAUGGGGUCAGCCAAUGUGAUAGCAGGACCUGAAUCACCCACCUUAAAGGUGGUCGUGGUAGACUAUGUUUAUUCAUUCUUGAGGAGGAACUUGGCAGAGGGUCACAAGGUGUUGUCCAUUCCUAAAGAUCAGCUGCUCAAAGUUGGGAUCACAUAUGAGAUAUAG